GAUGAAGAACGCAGCGAAAUGCGAUAAGUAGUGUGAAUUGCAGAAUUCAGUGAAUCAUCGAAUCUUUGAACGCACAUUGCGCCCCUUGGUAUUCCGGGGGGCAUGCCUGUUCGAGCGUCAUUACAACCCUCAAGCUCUGCUUGGUAUUGGGCCCCGCCAGUUCUGGCGGGCCCUAAAGUCAGUGGCGGUGCCUUCCGGCUCCGAGCGUAGUAAUUCUUCUCGCUCUGGAGACCCGGUUGUGUGCUUGCCAACAACCCCCAAUUUUUUAAGGUUGACCUCGGAUCAGGUAGGGAUACCCGCUGAACUUAAGCAUAUCAAUAAGCGGAGGA
rnacentral:misc_RNA from 1 species